GGGGGGGGUGUCGGGAUUAUUGGGCGUAAGAGCUUGUAGGUGGUUUGUCGCGUCUGCUGUGAAAAUCCGAGGCUCAACCUCGGACUUGCAGUGGGUACGGGCAGACUAGAGUGUGGUAGGGGAGACUGGAAUUCCUGGUGUAGCGGUGGAAUGCGCAGAUAUCAGGAGGAACACCGAUGGCGAAGGCAGGUCUCUGGGCCAUUACUGACACUGAGAAGCGAAAGCAUGGGGAGCGAACAGGAUUAGAUACCCUGGUAGUCCAUGCCGUAAACGUUGGGAACUAGGUGUGGGUCUCAUUCCACGAGAUCCGUGCCGCAGCUAACGCAUUAAGUUCCCCGCCUGGGGAGUACGGCCGCAAGGCUAAAACUCAAAGGAAUUGACGGGGGCCCGCACAAGCGGCGGAGCAUGCGGAUUAAUUCGAUGCAACGCGAAGAACCUUACCAAGGCUUGACAUACGCCGGAAUCACUCAGAGAUGGGUGCGUCUUCGGACUGGUGUACAGGUGGUGCAUGGUUGUCGUCAGCUCGUGUCGUGAGAUGUUGGGUUAAGUCCCGCAACGAGCGCAACCCUCGUUCUAUGUUGCCAGCACAUCAUGGUGGGGACUCAUAGGAGACUGCCGGGGUCAACUCGGAGGAAGGUGGGGAUGACGUCAAAUCAUCAUGCCCCUUAUGUCUUGGGCUUCACGCAUGCUACAAUGGCCGGUACAAAGGGCUGCGAUACCGCGAGGUGGAGCGAAUCCCAAAAAACCGGUCUCAGUCCGGAUUGGGGUCUGCAACUCGACCCCAUGAAGUCGGAGUCGCUAGUAAUCGCAGAUCAGCAACGCUGCGGUGAAUACGUUCCCGGGCCUUGUACACACCGCCCGUCAAGUCACGAAAGUCGGUAACACCCGAAGCCGGUGGCCCAACUGCCUUGUGCAGAGGGAGCCGUCGAGGUGGGACUGGCGAUUGGACUAAGUCGUAACAAGGUAACC
rnacentral:rRNA from 1 species